CUUCCGGUGUAUAAUUAUCUCAAGUUCAGAGAGUGAGACAGAACUGAACUGAGAACAGAAGACCGUGAAGUGAAGCUGUUAGGACUCUUUUGCUGGGCGACUGGUUAUUGUUAUGGCUGCAUUGUUCGCCUGUACAAAAUGUCAUAAAAGACACCCUUUCGAAGAAUUGUCUUCAAGUGAACAAUUAUGUAAAGAUUGUAGAAACCAUUAUCCUGUUGUGAAGUGUACAUACUGCAGAGGGGAAUUCCAACAGGAGGAGAAAGGAAGCAUAAAUUCUAUAUGCAAGAAAUGUGCACAAAAUGUUAAGCUUUACGGAAAGCCCACUGUCUGUGAAUAUUGUAACAUAGUAGCAGCAUUUAUAGGAAGCCGAUGUCAGCGAUGUACUAAUGCAGAGAGAAAGUGGGGGCCUCCCUCAACAUGUGAACAGUGCAAACAGAAAUGUGCUUUUGACAGGAACGAUGGUAGCAGGAAAAAGGUCGAUGGAAAGCUUCUGUGCUGGUUGUGUACAUUAGCGUAUAAACGGGUACUAGCCAAAGCAAGAUUACGAGAGGAAGAAGCAAGAAAAAGUAUGGGGUCAACACAGCAGAAACCCGCGGAAGAAAAAGUGGAGAAAAUAGACAAGUUUGACAGCAUAAUGAAUAUAAAACCAGAAGACUCAAAAUACGACAAUGUUGGAAGUGUUAGUAGUCGUCAUAGUAACGGUAGUCAAGGAGACCAGGAUAAAUCUGAUUUUACUGAGGAAGGUGUAGAUUUGCCAAACAGCAGUAGUGGUGUUGGUAGUCAUAGCCACAGUCAUCGCCACAAACACCAUAAACACCACCGAGACCACCACAGACGGUCUCAUGGUCGCCACAAACAUCACCACAAACACAAAUCUAGUGAACCAAAUACUCCAUCUGACACUCCACCAAACAAAGUAUCUCGUCUAGACUCUAAAAAUAACGCCAACGGAUUAACACCAACAAAGAGUUCAGGGCUGAGUAGUAUGUCCUUGUCCAUCCUUAACACGAGCGCCAUGGAGAAAACAAUGGAGGACCCUCACAGUUCUGAACAUCUGAUCGCCCUGCAGCAGUUACAGGAGCAGUUAGACGCCGCCAAAAAACAGAUACAGACUAGAGACCAGCAGCUGCUAGAGAAAGACAAAAAGAUCACGGAGUUGAAGGCCCAGUCUUACGAGAUGGAGAAGGAAUACCGACUUAAACAACAGACAAUGCAGAAACAACACAGUGAGUCACUGGAAGCACUACAGACAAAGAAUCGAGAGCUGAUGAAGCAGCUAGCCAGUGUGAAGACAAAAGGAAAGAGUAGGAGCUCCACAGCAAGUCCUAAUGUGAUGACUUAACAUGGCGAGUGGUGGAUCCAAGAGGGGAGAGAUCCAGCCUGACACCACAAACCCCAGAAUAGAUUGUUAAAACUGGGGGGAGGAUCUUGAGGGGUGGAGAUUAAUUCAGUAUAAGUGAUGUGUUUGAGAAAUGAUAUAGUAUUAAUGUUUGAAUAUACAUCAAUAUCUGAAGCUAUUUUAUUUUAAAAUAUUAUUUAAAACUGGUAUUUGGCAGUACAAUUUCUUUAUUGUUUUUGAAAAUUUUUGCUGGAAAACCUUGUCUUAUUUAUGUAUCAACUUGAGAACUAAUGCUUUGGUAAAGAAAUUUUAAACAAGAUUCAGAACUGUAUUUUUUUUAAGGAUAUAUAUUUAUAAACUCAAUAUAUGUUACUCAAGCUUUAUCUGCUUAAAUAUUUGAAUCUCUGUCUUUUGAAAAAGGAAUCACUAGAAUUGGUGUUUGUACUAUUAUAAUAAAGUGUCCCUUGUCAAGUCCUCAAUUUGAUUGAUGGUAGGAGUAGAGAUCUGACUUUUGUUUAAUGUGUACAGAAUGUGUUGUGGAGUUAAGCUUGCUGUUGCUUCGUCAGAGGUUGUAAACUAAGAUUUUGUACAGAAUAAGAAAUUCAGUUGUCCUUUUUCUCAAAGCUUGUAAUUAACUUCCAGUUAAAAUGUGUAAACACAAGUUUAGAAACUUGUCAUCAAAAAUAAUCAACCAUGCUGCAAUUUUUUAUUUGUCGGGUGAAAAUUAUCAUUAACAUUAUAUAUAUGGUUUAUUUCAUCACCAAAGAUGAUGCUGACAACUGAUCAGAUUUUUGUGUAUUUUUGAGUUAGUAAUUGUCUGUAACUUUAACCCUACCUCCCGUCACAGUCAUAUUUAUGUGUGUGUGAGUACAUUUCAUAGUUAUAUCUAUAUGUAUAUACAUGAACCUAAAAUCAUUAUUGUGAAUCUGCUUUCAGUGAUACGUAUAUAUUGCUUUAGAAAACGUUUUGUGAAAUGGUACUGUUGAAGAUCAGUUAUCUAUAAGAUAACAUUGUUUUAUGUAGAAUGGUCCUUAUUUCUUCUGACAAGCCAGGUAGGGUACUGUAAUAAAUGAUCUUUGGUAUCUUCCAGUUUAUGUGUACAUCAGUUAAAUGUGUGUGUAUAAAGCAAUGUUUCAUACAUUACUAUAUUUUAAAGAAAUUUAAUGGUGUCACCAAACUUGCUGAAAUCAAAGUACAUGUAUGUGUAAGUUAGUAUAAAUGUUUGCCGUUAUUAAAUGCUUUUGCCUCAUAGAUUACUUUAAAAAAUAUCAAGGAUUUAAAAACUAGUUGUGAACCUGUGCCAAUUUGACAUUUUGUAUGAAUGGUCCAACCUUUGUAUUUGUGUUGUUUGUUUUUACAAAUCUGUCUCAAGAGGAACUGUGUAAAUGUAAACACUCAUGUUUAUCCACGUUACAUAGUCAUACCUCAAUUUUCACAGAUUGAAAUAAUGAUAUCCUAUGAUCACUGGCAUAUUAAUCAAUAUGUUUUGAAUUUCGAUUUAGUGAAAUGAAUUUAAAAGAUACUUUUCAAAAUAUGUACUUUGUAUGUAUGUAAAGGAGCAACCUAUUUUAAACAUUGCAGAAAUCUAUAAAUUGAGAAUGCAAAGUAAAAUGCACUACUAUAAUAUUGUACUGUAUUUUAAGAAAAUUAGAACAUUUGCAAAAGCGAAGUGAUUUUUUUAUUGCAAUAAGUUUCUUAAGCCUAUAUUAGAAUAUUCAUUUGGACUGAUAUUGUUCAUUUCCUAGAUCACAUUUGGAAUGUUUAUGUCUUUUCUGAUAUUAACUUUUCAGGCAAGUGCUUUGUAAGAUAAAGAGUAUGUGCAAUUCUGUAAAAUACUGUGAAUACUAAUUUUAUGUGUAUGAUCAUGAUUUUUUAUAAUGAUUUCAUAAAAAAAACUAUUAUUGUUUAAAACUAUUAUUGCCUUUAAAGGAUAAAUAAUUGCUACUUUGUAGCAUUGUUUAAACCCAGAUCACUCUAGAAAAUAUAUGGGUAUGUAUGUGUACCCAGAUAAAUAUGCAAAAUAGGGCAUUGAGUUUUUAGCUGAAGGUGUGCAUCAUAUUUUUGGUUAAAGAAUAAUUAUAAUAAUGGAAAGAUGGUAUUAUAUAUCACUGAAACAUGUAGGUCUUUACACUGGGAAAAUAUCUUUCUACUUAGAGCUGCAAUCUUUGAAUUGAUCACUUUUUCCCCCAUAAUUUAAAUUUUUUUGUUUGUGGAGAAAAAGAAUUAUACAUUUUAUUAUUAAAAUUACGGCUCGCUGUUAUCUUUUGAUAAUUUUUCUCAUUAACAAUCCAGCCGCACUCCUAUUUAUGUAGAGCAUGGCCACUUUCAUAAAAGACUUAGAGGUAAAGGAAUUGCUAGAACAUGCAUUGAUAAAGUAAUAAAAUAUUGAAAAUUAUUUUGUAUAAAGUGACUGGGCUAUUUGUAGUUUCAUUAGUCUUGUACAUGUAAAUAGUGUAAAUAACAAUAUUUAUUUAUUGCACUUCAGCUGUUUUAGAUUGGAAUUUGUAAAUGUCACAAUUUUAGCCUGAUGUAUACAGGAAUUUUUUGACAGUAACUUUAUCUGAAUUCUUACAAACAAUAGAAACUAUUUAGGUUUUAUGAUUUUUUUUAAUUUAUUGUUUUAAAAUUUAA